rnacentral:tRNA from 1 species
AUCUAUGUAGCUUAAGUGGAAAGCAUAGCUUUGAAGCAGCUAGGAUAAUAAUUUGUUUGUAGAUA